AUUUGUAAUGAUGAUUGGCAAAAUGUUCAACUGCUCUGAAAAGAGUGACUGACGACAGCCUUUCUGAACACUU
rnacentral:snoRNA from 1 species